AACUCGUAGUUAUGGAGCUUGGGGAGCCUGAGCGCAGGGUGCCAGCAUCUGUGAUGCCUUCUAGCUGUAGUCUCACUGUGCCAUCUAAGUUGAUCCUGAACUCCUGGGCUCAAUGAUCCUCCCAACUCAGCUUAUCAAGUGCCUGGGACUUCUGAUGCAUGCCUGACAUGACUUUUUGGCUUCAUGAGGAUUUCUGAACUUGACUCUGCAGAGUUGAAAUGUGUCUUGUCUAGUGAUUGGGCCUUUAAAAAUAAAACUCGGGUGCCAUAGUCCCCACACGACACUGAAAGGUGGAGACCAUGGCCUCUAGAAUAGGAAAUUGCACAAUAGAAAGAGAUAGACUCCAAGCACUGUGGUGGCUGUUGAUCCUGGGUCCUUAUAUAGUUAGCUUCCUUUAGUGUUUUGCUAUUUUAGUUUCCAUUCUACUAGUUAAUGUCUUUUCCUUUCUGUUUGAACUUGUUAGAAGUGAGCAUUUGUCAUGAAUGGCCAAACUCUGCUACAGUCUCUGAAUUUUACUACAGAGGAAGCUGAAGUGAGAUUGUCAUUUGGUAAGGAUACUUAUAAUGCAGAUCCAGUGGCGCAAGUGACAGACAUUGCCAACACCUCCGCUCAAACUCAGAAUAGGCAGAAUGAAACCAAACUACCUGACUCGAAGAAAAAGGUACCAAGUGGAAUUGUCUAUGCAAU
ensembl:lincRNA Gm29069 predicted gene 29069